GUGUUCACUUUGGCAGCACACAUGCCAAAACUGGAAUGAUACAGAGACAAUUAGCAUGGCCCCUGUGCAAGGAUGGCAUGCAAAUUCAUGACGGACUCCAUACUUUU
rnacentral:snRNA from 1 species